rnacentral:rRNA from 1 species
AAUCGCGCAUCUGUAGCAUACAGGAUGUGGGCGCAUGGCGAACGGGUGCGUAACACGUGGGCAACCUUCCCUUCGGUGGGGGAUACCCCCGCGAAAGCGGGACUAAUACCGCAUAACACUCCCUUGGUUAGUUCUGAGGGAUUCAAAGCAGCAAUGCGCCGGAAGAGGGGCCCGCGGCCGAUUAGCUAGUUGGUGAGGUAACGGCUCACCAAGGCAAAGAUCGGUAGCCGGUCUGAGAGGAUGAUCGGCCACACUGGAACUGAGACACGGUCCAGACUCCUACGGGAGGCAGCAGUGGGGAAUCUUGCGCAAUGGGCGAAAGCCUGACGCAGCGACGCCGCGUGGGGGAUGAAGCUUUUCGGAGCGUAAACCCCUUUCGACCCGGACGAAUGCCCGCAAGGGUUUGACGGUACGGGUAGAAGAAGCCCCGGCUAACUACGUGCCAGCAGCCGCGGUAAA